UACAGAGGGUGCGAGCGUUAAUCGGAAUUACUGGGCGUAAAGCGUGCGUAGACGGCUAUCUAAGUCGGGUGUGAAAGCCCCGGGCUCAACCUGGGAAUUGCAUUUGUGACUGCACGGCUAGAGUGUGUCAGAGGGGGGUAGAAUUCCACGUGUAGCAGUGAAAUGCGUAGAGAUGUGGAGGAAUACCGAUGGCGAAGGCAGCCCCCUGGGAUAACACUGACGCUCAUGCACGAAAGCGUGGGGAGCAAACAGG
rnacentral:rRNA from 1 species